rnacentral:rRNA from 1 species
UGUGGUGACGAUGGCGAGAAGGAUACACCUGUUCCCAUGUCGAACACAGAAGUUAAGCUUCUUAGCGCCGAGAGUAGUUGGGGGAUCGCU